rnacentral:rRNA from 1 species
GGGUUGUGAGGUUAAGCGACUAAGCGUACACGGUGGAUGCCCUGGCAGUCAGAGGCGAUGAAGGACGUGCUAAUCUGCGAUAAGCGUCGGUGAGGUGAUAUGAACCGUUAUAACCGGCGAUUUCCGAAUGGGGAAACCCAGUGUGUUUCGACACACUAUCAUUAACUGAAUCCAUAGGUUAAUGAGGCGAACCGGGGGAACUGAAACAUCUAAGUACCCCGAGGAAAAGAAAUCAACCGAGAUUCCCCCAGUAGCGGCGAGCGAACGGGGAGGAGCCCAGAGCCUGAAUCAGUGUGUGUGUUAGUGGAAGCGUCUGGAAAGGCGCGCGAUACAGGGUGACAGCCCCGUACACAAAAAUGCACAUGCUGUGAGCUCGAUGAGUAGGGCGGGACACGUGGUAUCCUGUCUGAAUAUGGGGGGACCAUCCUCCAAGGCUAAAUACUCCUGACUGACCGAUAGUGAACCAGUACCGUGAGGGAAAGGCGAAAAGAACCCCGGCGAGGGGAGUGAAAAAGAACCUGAAACCGUGUACGUACAAGCAGUGGGAGCCUCUUAAUGGGGUGACUGCGUACCUUUUGUAUAAUGGGUCAGCGACUUAUAUUCUGUAGCAAGGUUAACCGAAUAGGGGAGCCGAAGGGAAACCGAGUCUUAACUGGGCGUUAAGUUGCAGGGUAUAGACCCGAAACCCGGUGAUCUAGCCAUGGGCAGGUUGAAGGUUGGGUAACACUAACUGGAGGACCGAACCGACUAAUGUUGAAAAAUUAGCGGAUGACUUGUGGCUGGGGGUGAAAGGCCAAUCAAACCGGGAGAUAGCUGGUUCUCCCCGAAAGCUAUUUAGGUAGCGCCUCGUGAAUUCAUCUCCGGGGGUAGAGCACUGUUUCGGCAAGGGGGUCAUCCCGACUUACCAACCCGAUGCAAACUGCGAAUACCGGAGAAUGUUAUCACGGGAGACACACGGCGGGUGCUAACGUCCGUCGUGAAGAGGGAAACAACCCAGACCGCCAGCUAAGGUCCCAAAGUCAUGGUUAAGUGGGAAACGAUGUGGGAAGGCCCAGACAGCCAGGAUGUUGGCUUAGAAGCAGCCAUCAUUUAAAGAAAGCGUAAUAGCUCACUGGUCGAGUCGGCCUGCGCGGAAGAUGUAACGGGGCUAAACCAUGCACCGAAGCUGCGGCAGCGACACUAUGUGUUGUUGGGUAGGGGAGCGUUCUGUAAGCCUGUGAAGGUGUGCUGUGAGGCAUGCUGGAGGUAUCAGAAGUGCGAAUGCUGACAUAAGUAACGAUAAAGCGGGUGAAAAGCCCGCUCGCCGGAAGACCAAGGGUUCCUGUCCAACGUUAAUCGGGGCAGGGUGAGUCGACCCCUAAGGCGAGGCCGAAAGGCGUAGUCGAUGGGAAACAGGUUAAUAUUCCUGUACUUGGUGUUACUGCGAAGGGGGGACGGAGAAGGCUAUGUUGGCCGGGCGACGGUUGUCCCGGUUUAAGCGUGUAGGCUGGUUUUCCAGGCAAAUCCGGAAAACCAAGGCUGAGGCGUGAUGACGAGGCACUACGGUGCUGAAGCGACAAAUGCCCUGCUUCCAGGAAAAGCCUCUAAGCAUCAGGUAACAUCAAAUCGUACCCCAAACCGACACAGGUGGUCAGGUAGAGAAUACCAAGGCGCUUGAGAGAACUCGGGUGAAGGAACUAGGCAAAAUGGUGCCGUAACUUCGGGAGAAGGCACGCUGAUAUGUAGGUGAAGCGACUUGCUCGUGGAGCUGAAAUCAGUCGAAGAUACCAGCUGGCUGCAACUGUUUAUUAAAAACACAGCACUGUGCAAACACGAAAGUGGACGUAUACGGUGUGACGCCUGCCCGGUGCCGGAAGGUUAAUUGAUGGGGUUAGCGGUAACGCGAAGCUCUUGAUCGAAGCCCCGGUAAACGGCGGCCGUAACUAUAACGGUCCUAAGGUAGCGAAAUUCCUUGUCGGGUAAGUUCCGACCUGCACGAAUGGCGUAAUGAUGGCCAGGCUGUCUCCACCCGAGACUCAGUGAAAUUGAACUCGCUGUGAAGAUGCAGUGUACCCGCGGCAAGACGGAAAGACCCCGUGAACCUUUACUAUAGCUUGACACUGAACAUUGAGCCUUGAUGUGUAGGAUAGGUGGGAGGCUUUGAAGUGUGGACGCCAGUCUGCAUGGAGCCGACCUUGAAAUACCACCCUUUAAUGUUUGAUGUUCUAACGUUGGCCCGUAAUCCGGGUUGCGGACAGUGUCUGGUGGGUAGUUUGACUGGGGCGGUCUCCUCCUAAAGAGUAACGGAGGAGCACGAAGGUUGGCUAAUCCUGGUCGGACAUCAGGAGGUUAGUGCAAUGGCAUAAGCCAGCUUGACUGCGAGCGUGACGGCGCGAGCAGGUGCGAAAGCAGGUCAUAGUGAUCCGGUGGUUCUGAAUGGAAGGGCCAUCGCUCAACGGAUAAAAGGUACUCCGGGGAUAACAGGCUGAUACCGCCCAAGAGUUCAUAUCGACGGCGGUGUUUGGCACCUCGAUGUCGGCUCAUCACAUCCUGGGGCUGAAGUAGGUCCCAAGGGUAUGGCUGUUCGCCAUUUAAAGUGGUACGCGAGCUGGGUUUAGAACGUCGUGAGACAGUUCGGUCCCUAUCUGCCGUGGGCGCUGGAGAACUGAGGGGGGCUGCUCCUAGUACGAGAGGACCGGAGUGGACGCAUCACUGGUGUUCGGGUUGUCAUGCCAAUGGCACUGCCCGGUAGCUAAAUGCGGAAGAGAUAAGUGCUGAAAGCAUCUAAGCACGAAACUUGCCCCGAGAUGAGUUCUCCCUGAGACUUAGAGUCUCCUGAAGGAACGUUGAAGACGACGACGUUGAUAGGCCGGGUGUGUAAGCGCAGCGAUGCGUUGAGCUAACCGGUACUAAUGAACCGUGAGGCUUAACCUUACAACGCCGAAG